ACUUUCUAUAUCUCACAAUAUUUUUUAAUUCUCCAUUUAUAGUUAUACAUUUUGCAAAGUAUAAAUUGAUUUUAUUCAUUUGAAAUUCUCACCAAAGUUCAUAUGUCCCAAAAAUUUUAAACAAGAAAGUCUAGUUCAAAUUGUCAAGAGCCUUUUUUUAAUCUAGAAAGAUCCAACUUGUUUUGUCACUCCAAUCUUUGUUUUUCUAAAAGAAAAAGCAGUCAGAUCAAGAUAAUAGAUCAGCAGAGAUGUAACUCUAAGCUCACUGAAAGAAAUGUCAGAUUCCUAGAUGAAUAUUACACCAAACUGGAGGCAAGGAAAGCAAAUCAACAUGAAAUAAAAGGUCCUGCAUGGAGACAGCAUGAAUGUUAUAUAUCCAAAGAGGAGCACUGAUGCAAGGGAAUUUAAACUAUGUGGUUAUGUAUUCAAUAACCUUUAUUCUUAAGAUAAAAUAUGCUUGACCACACUGAAUGAAAAUACUAAGAUGUUAUUUUAUUGCUUUGAAGUUUGACUUUAACCUUUCAUUCUAUUCUGUUUGGUUGGGAGUGGUCCAGAAUAAAGGCACCGGAGGAGAUACUCUAUGAGGUCAACACCUGUGGAAAGGGAAGUUUCUCACCUGCAUGUAGCUCAGCAGAGAGGAAAGGAAAGAAAAUGAGUCAGCAAGAAGAAAUACACCCAACUGGCUUGUAUAAAUAUAUUUAUGGUUAUAAAUAUAGCUACAUCAUAAAUACAGCACCACCUGCUGACCAUACAGGUGGCAUUUGGAUCCUCAAAAGCUGUCCGGUUACUUGGACAAGAAUGUACAUGUCAUAGAUUCAUUCCACAUCUUUCUGUUUUAUCAAUUUACACAUUUCUGAAACCAAGACUCUUAAAAUGUUGGUCAGGAAGUUUUUAAAGUUUAUAAAAUGUAUUUUGAGAUGAAAAUGCAUUUUCAACUCAAUUAACUGAAUGUACACAAAUAAGAUUAUUUGCAGAAUUAUUUUUACAUAACUAAUUUGCAGCUAUGAUCAUAGUCACGAAGUUUAAAUUGAAUAAUUGUUAUCAAUAGAAAUAUUGCUGCUAGUGAAUGGAUUAUAAUUUUAAAAUUAUUUGUUAAAGAAGAAAAUUCAAUUAAAAUACUGUGAAGUAAAAACUUGAUUACACAUUCCUACAAAACUAUUUCACAGAAUCCAGGGAGGGGAAAACAGAUUUCUGUAACUGCCAGCAGAGCCACCAAAAGCACCUCAUUGUGCUCUCUUCUGCUUUAUUAGCUGGCUAUCAGCCUAUAAAAGUUGGGUUGGAGAAUUAAGAUUAAUUUCUAUACUAAAUAUAGUUCCAUCAUUUCUGUAUUAAUUUCUAUGACAUAAUAUGUCAAUUAAGCCACUUAAGAAAUCAAGCAAAUGACAGCACUUAGCUGACUUUGGCUGGUUUCAGAAAAGUUUAGUUUAGUUGGACCUGAUUAAUACUUGUAUAGAAGACAACCAGAACAUCCAGGACUGCAGGCUAAACUAGGAAUCUAUAGGACUCUAAAUUAGGAAUCUGGAGCCUAGCCCAUGUAGCCACCAGGUGUUGAACACAAUUCAAAAUAAUCUUUCCUUUUAUACUGCAUCUACUUCGAUAGUAACCAAAAAGAGACAAUUGUCUAUGCUUGUUUUUCUGAUAGUAGUUAAUUAAAUGAAGGUUCAUUUAUAAAGAAAUGCUUUCACAAGAAAGCACCAUCAUUUUCCAGUUUCACAGAUUUUAUUCAUUUGGGAAAUUCCAAAAAUACUUAGUCAAUUCUUCCUUUCAUGAGAUCUUGCCAGAACAAGUUUGCAAAAUACUUGUUUGUCAACUAUCUGCAGAAAUCAGAGUUGGACAAAAGGAGGCUUCCAUCUUCCUAUAAUAUUUUAUAGGAACUGCAUUCUGUCAACACUGUGACAAUGGAUGUUCCCACUCUGACAACUAAGGGAAAUUGCAGCCAUUUUUACUCUGCUUACAGCUUGCUUUUUCUGCUGUUUAGAAAUCAGAUGUAAAAGGAGGGAUGGGGUGAAUGCUUGAGCUCAAAUAGCCAUAACAAUAAUGCAGCUUCAUGGGAAUUCAAGGACGCAAACCGAUAACGUUUUGGCAGGCUGAGGAGCUGGAGAGGAAGCCCGCGCUUCAGGCUAAUUGGAGAAUGUGAUCUAUGACUGCUUCAUGGGGGUGGGGAUUGCAACUUGUUACUUUGUAUCUGGGGGAAGGGAAUUUAGUUUUGAGUUCAACUAUGUAGUGCCGAUACUUUGUUUCCUGAAUAAAAUGUUCUUUAAGGAAGAACUCUUGCCUUGAAGUUCUUUAAUUGGUAUCAUCUAUUAGAACCAUGACACAUUCAUUCUUUACCCAUUUUAAUGCUUUCCACCCAAUAUUUGGUUAAUUUUCACGCAUAAAUUAUUAUUUUUAAUUGUAGUUUUGAAAAGUAUUUUGGUAUGUUAAAAUACUAUUCAAAACCUCAACUAAGAAGUACAAUCAAUAUGUGAAAAUUAACCAAAUAUUGGGUGGAAAGCAAUACAUUUUGGAAUAUUAAAAUUUUGAGAGAAGUUACAACAAAAGAUAUUGCACAGAAUUUUGGUAAGAGCCUCAUUUUGGAGAAGGUGAAAAGAGCAUGAAGGCUUUCAGAACUGAAUUGGAAUAAAUUCUAAUUUACCAUUUCUGCUUGCAGGGAAACUAUUAACUGUCUUACAUAGUUACCAUGUUUUGAUAUUAACAAUAAAGGUAUGUUUAUUUGUUUAUUUGUCAUGCUCAUUCUCAUCUCUUUCAUAAGCCAACCAUCUGUCUCAUGCCUUCAGGACAUUAAACACCAUUGUCAAUAUUUGAACUGAGCCUAGAAAUAGAGUAACAGGUAAUAUAGAAGCGAUGUUAUCACAUUAUUUUAUUAGCUAAUUCAAUAGUAAUUUGCAGCUAUAUUUGGAAGUUGGGUAUCUCACUAUAUCUAGAACAUCAUUAACUAUUUCUCAUUGUGGAAGAUUUAUUGCUUGAAAACUACAGGAUGGUUCCCUAUAGUUUCUGAAUUAAUGCAAUCCAGAAGAACAAUGUUACCAUGUUUUCUGGAAUAUUUUAUAGGGAGGUGCAACAGUUGUCAGUUUUGCACAAUCUUAUCACAAUGACUUAAGGCCCUAGACACAUUCUCAGAAAACAAAGUGAUAAAUGACUAUCAUCACUUCAAAGAAGGCCACUUCAAGAAAGAAAUACUACAAAUACUACUGGAACUCUAUGGUUGUAGGGUACAAUAUUAGAAUCCUGAAAACCUGACAAAAUUCCCUUCUGUCAUUAAAGAGAAUAAAAGCAGAUUAUCUUGAA